GCUAGUGUUAGAACUAGGAGUUGAACUAGGGAUGGUUAGCUCUUGACCACAGACUUCAUUUACCUUGGUCCUAAAUAAGGCUGCUCCACCCACACCUUGUGCUGCUCACCAUCUGAAGUUCGAGGGCGAAUUCUGUAAAGAGUGACUUGUGUUUCCUUGAAUGCAUUGCAUGCUGGGUUUUGUUCCAGGGCCUUAGCACAUACUUUUCCUUCUUCUUUUUCCUUUUUUAGAUAUUGGGACUUGUUUAGUUAGUUGAUUUGUUAAUUUUUUCAACCCAAAUCCUUUAAAAUCCAGCUGAAAUUUCCCCUACUCUUGGAAAACCUUUGGCAUCCCCAACCCAAUAUGACCAAGUUAGCAACUCACCUAUGUUGCAUUAGGCUCCCAGUACCUGAACAGACAGGUGACACCCAGUGCACUACACCGGAACCCCACCACACCAUACUUCUCUCUUACAUCACAAUCACUGCAGUCUGGCCAAGGGCCCAGCUUGCUGCCUUGCAUUCAACAGACACUUUCUUUCAGAAGAGGGUCAGAAAAUAGGUAGAGCCUACAUUCUAAAUCUCCAUAGGCCUGGGUUCAGGUCUCAUCCCAGCCAUUUGGUAGCUAUGAGAGCCUGAGAAGUUAGUCUGCGGUUCAAAGAGUUCCUUCCUCCCACACAUUGCAAAUUCUUAUUAAACAGUACACUCUUCAGAGUCAAUGAUGGCUGAGUGAGAUAGAAACUAUGGAUUGAUGAGUAGCCCAGGAUGCAGCAAGCAGCCGGUCAAUGCUGGAAACAGGACCCCUCGGAAUCCGACUCGAUGAGAUGGUUCUAAUCUCAGCUCUCCAUUCUCCAGCUGUAGUCUUAGACAAGUUACUCCAUUCCUCACCUCAAUUCCUUAUCUACAAAUCAGCCUCUGCUUCCUGAUCAUGCUUGCUCCUCCUAGCCACAGAGUCUCCUCCCCAAAUCUCCUGCUCAGCCAGCCACUGAGGCAGAAUGUCUACCCAACCUGCAGGCACGGGGUUGGGAGAAAAGGCUUUGCUCUCACAGCCCUGGGUUCUGCAUAUCCAAGCCCACACAACCUCAGGUGACAGCACAGAAGGCUUCUUGAGUCUACCUUUCUUCAGGAGCUUUCGGCCUCUGCCCCCACCUCAUCCUAUUUGCCAGCUGCAGCUUCUAUGAGAGGCAGAGACACUCUGCCACCCAGCCCAUCAUUAUGUCCUGUUAUGAUAAAAUACACAUGACCAAAUGAG